rnacentral:rRNA from 1 species
UCUUCCUACGGGACGCAGCAGUAGGGAAUAUUGCUCAAUGGGGAAAACCUUGAAGCAGCAACGCCGCGUGGAGGAUGAAGGUUUUCGGAUUGUAAACUCCUUUUGUUAGAGAAGAUAAUGACGGUAUCUAACGAACAAGCACCGGCUAACUCCGUGCCAGCAGCCGCGGUAAUACGGAGGGUGCAAGCGUUACUCGGAAUCACUGGGCGUAAAGAGCGCGUAGGCGGGAUAGCAAGUCAGAUGUGAAAUCCUAUGGCUUAACCAUAGAACUGCAUUUGAAACUGUUGUUCUAGAGUAUGGGAGAG